rnacentral:rRNA from 1 species
UGCGUAGGCGGAUCAAUAAGUCAGUGGUGAAAUCUCUCGGCUCAACCGGGAAACUGCCAUUGAUACUGUUAGUCUUGAGUUCGGUUGAGGUAGGCGGAAUGUGUAAUGUAGCGGUGAAAUGCUUAGAUAUUACACAGAACACCAAUUGCGUAGGCAGCUUACUAGACCGACACUGACGCUGAGGCACGAAAGCGUGGGGAGCGAACAGGAUUAGAUACCCUGGUAGUCC